rnacentral:lncRNA from 1 species
GGGGUGCUGAAUGUCUCCAAAGGCGAUAGGAUUGUGAUGAGGAGGAGGUUGAGGAGUUGUCUAUACCAGAUGAAGGGAUCUGCUGUAUCCAAAGAGGUCGAGGUGAUUGCUUUAGCUAUGGAGGAUCAGCAGGUGGUUCAGUCGGUGCAAAUUGGAUAGCUAAUGGUGUGUUUAUCAAAUUUUCCUGUUGCUGGGUCGUCGGAU